rnacentral:rRNA from 1 species
CCAAUAGCGUAUAUUAAAGUUGCUGCAGUUAAAAAGCUCGUAGUUGAAUUUCGGGACCAAUAUGUCGGUCGUGCCUCGGUACGUACUGGCAUCGUUGGUUUCUCCCUUCUGACGAACCAUGAUGUCAUUUAUUUGGUGUCGUGGGGAAUCAGGACUGUUACUUUGAAAAAAUUAGAGUGUUUAAAGCAGGCUCACGCUUGAAUACAUUAGCAUGGAAUAAUGAAAUAGGACGUUUGAUUCUAUUUUGUUGGUUUCUAGGAUCGACGUAAUUAUUAAUAGGGAUAGUUGGGGGCAUUAGUAGUCAAUUGUCAGAGGUGAAAUUCUUGGAUUUAUUGAAGACUAACUACUGCGAAAGCAUUUGCCAAGGAUGUUUUCAUUAAUCAAGAACGAAAGUUAUGGGAUCGAAGACGAUCAGAUACCGUCGUAGUCUUAACCAUAAGCUAUGCCGACUAGGGAUCGGAUGAUGUUAAUUUUUUAAUGACUCAUUCGGCGCCUUACG